CAUCAUCGUGGUAACAGGUUGAAGUUUGAUGAUGUCGUGACUGUCGUUGGAGAUCUUGACGUGCCCUCGCCUGUCCGGGACCUUGUCUUCAUGGGUCCAUCGGCUGUCUUGCAUUCGUUGCACACUCUUUCGGAUGUGGCUCCGAAUAUUGAUGGGGCUGUGUGCCUUCUUGAUGGUUCCCAUCGGGAGGUGGUUCGUUGGGAUGUUGUUCGUGCGGGAUUGUCCCAUGGUGAUGGCGGGAGGGGCCUUGCGGCCGGACGUAGCGCAUUGCUAAAGUAUACUAGGGAUUGGAUGAAUACUACUGG
rnacentral:lncRNA from 1 species